UACAGAGGCCACGAGCGUUAGGCGGAAUCACUGGGCUUAAAGCGUGUGUAGGUGGAUGGGUAAGUACCUUGUGAAAUCCCACGGCUCAACCGUGGAACUGCUUGGUAUACUGCCUGUCUUGAGGCACUCAGGGGCGAGCGGAACAGAUGGUGGAGCGGUGAAAUGCGUAGAUAUCAUCUGGAACGCCAAUGGUGAAGACAGCUCGCUGGGGGUGUACUGACACUGAGACACGAAAGCCAGGGGAG
rnacentral:rRNA from 1 species